UGCAAGUCGCACGAGAAAGUGGAGCAAUCCAUGAGUAAAGUGGCGCACGGGUGAGUAACACGUGACUUAUCUACCUCCGAGUGGGGAAUAACCUAGAGAAAUCUGGGCUAAUACCGCAUAACACUUACGAGUCAAAGCAGCAAUGCGCUUGGAGAGGAGGUCGCGGCCGAUUAGCUAGUUGGCGGGGUAAUGGCCCACCAAGGCGAUGAUCGGUAUCCGGCCUGAGAGGGCGCACGGACACACUGGAACUGAAACACGGUCCAGACUCCUACGGGAGGCAGCAGUGGGGAAUUUUGCGCAAUGGGGGAAACCCUGACGCAGCAACGCCGCGUGGAGGAUGAAAUCCCUUGGGAUGUAAACUCCUUUCGAUCGGGACGAUUAUGACGGUACCGGAAGAAGAAGCCCCGGCUAACUUCGUGCCAGCAGCCGCGGUAAUACGAGGGGGGCAAGCGUUGUUCGGAAUUAUUGGGCGUAAAGGGCGCGUAGGCGGUUUGGCAAGUCUUAUGUGAAAUCUUCGGGCUCAACUCGAAGUCUGCAUGAGAAACUGCCGGGCUUGAGUAUGGGAGAGGUGAGUGGAAUUUCCGGUGUAGCGGUGAAAUGCGUAGAUAUCGGAAGGAACACCUGUGGCGAAAGCGGCUCACUGGACCAUAACUGACGCUGAUGCGCGAAAGCUAGGGGAGCAAACAGGAUUAGAUACCCUGGUAGUCCUAGCCCUAAACGAUGAUUGCUUGGUGUGACAGGUACCCAAUCCUGUCGUGCGAAGCUAACGCGAUAAGCAAUCCGCCUGGGGAGUACGGUCGCAGGCUGAAACUCAAGGAAUUGACGGGGGCCCCACAAGCGGGGAGCAUGUGGUUUAUUCGACGC
rnacentral:rRNA from 1 species